rnacentral:ncRNA from 1 species
CAGGUGCGGUUAUACACGCAGUGGCUGACAAUCAGGAUUUAAUAUUUUCUUAAGUCUAUUACUGUCAAAUUCCGGGAAAUUCCUAAAGCUUAAAUUACAGCGAGUAAAAAGGUAACUUUGAAAGCACGGGUUACUAAUUAUAACUCUAUAGAUUAUUAUCUGAUGUAAAGAGAUUUAAGAUAAACUUCGGUGCAAUGGAUAACCGCGGAACUAAAUUCCUUAUUUUAUUAUAAAUCUUUAAGGAUAAAAGCGCAACGACUAUACGGCAGUAGCGUCUACUCAGGUUUAAUAGACCUAAUUUUUACAUAGAGUAAGUUUCUCUUGAGGGUAGAGCUAAGAUAGAGUCUAGUCCUACUACGAAAGUAAUAG